GACGUAGGGCGCGAGCGUUGUCCGGAUUUAUUGGGCGUAAAGAGCUCGUAGGCGGUGUGUCGCGUCGGCCGUGAAAACCUGCAGCUUAACUGUGGGCUUGCGGUCGAUACGGGCAUCACUGGAGUUCGGCAGGGGAGACUGGAAUUCCUGGUGUAGCGGUGAAAUGCGCAGAUAUCAGGAGGAACACCGGUGGCGGAAGGCGGGUCUCUGGGCCCGAUGACUGACGCUGGAGGAGCGAAAGCGUGGGGAGCGAACAGG
rnacentral:rRNA from 1 species